ensembl:lncRNA LINC00539 long intergenic non-protein coding RNA 539
AUCCUUCCUGAGGAGGUUGGAAGAUGACUUGUUUGCCAGAUGGAUAGCCACAACCCAGGAACCAAAGGCUGUGCUGCUCUGUUCCAGUAAAGAUACCACAUCCAAUUAGAGACCAUGUAGAUGGAUUGAAUGGGGAUAUGAUGAGGAUGACCACCCCUGCAUUUGCUAAGUUCUUGGGAGUGGCAUCGAUCUCAGCCAUUCCACUGGAAUAGGGUCAGGAAACAAAACGUGAGGGCUCUACCAGCUGCUCAGUCUAUCCUUUCCAAUUGAGCACACUGGAACUGAGGAAGCAAAGACAGGGUGAGCCCUAACACCCUCAUCAUCACUGCUGAGCCUGCCUUGACAAGAACUCCAUUUAUCACCCGCCUCCAUAAUAGCCCAUUCUAACUAGCUGUCAUCGUGGCAUUUCAGGUUCUGCUGAUGUCAUUGUAAGAUAAUGGACCUUAACUAGUGGGCUGAAGGCAAUGAGGGGAUGUGAGGAUGCAUCUUGUGAAGGACAAAAGUCAUCCUGUAAGGAUUCAUGAGACCUGAGCAGCCAGCCAGCCCUGAAAUGGUUGGAACAGGAGAAAGAAGAAGAGCUCGACAGAUACCCUGCCUGGGCUGGCAGCUAGCUGCACCACAAGCUGGCCAGCUGACAGCGGGCACAUCCCUUCAUCACCCAGUGCCUUUCUUCCCUCUUGUGAAAAUGGAGAUAUGCUGAGAAGGUUACUUCAGCUCAUCCAGAGAAAGCUUCUUCAGCUAACUAGGCUGUAGAAAGGGCCUACAGCCUAAAUUUUCAAAAACAAGUUAAUGCCAGAAUAUAAACUCCGUGAA